UACAGGGGGUGCAAACGUUGCUCGGAAUCAUUGGGCGUAAAGCGCACGUAGGCGGUUUGUUAUGUCGGAUGUGAAAGCCCUUGGCUCAACUGAGGAAGUGCAUCCGAAACUGGCAAGCUAGAGUACUAAAGAGGGUCGCGGAAUUCCCGGUGUAGAGGUGAAAUUCGUAGAUAUUGGGAAGAACACCGGUGGCGAAGGCGGCGACCUGGUCCUUUUACUGACGCUGAGGCGCGAAAGCGUGGGGAGCAAACAGG
rnacentral:rRNA from 1 species